CCUAAGUCCUUACGUGUCGCUUUCCAUCUAAAUCCGAGUUAUCCCCAUCCAUAAUCCAUUCCAUUCUCCAAUUCUUUGCUUCUCUUCCGCCAUGUGCUUCUUCUCCUUCGAUCUCUCUCUGUGAUUUUGCUGAUUGUCCUAUACCACUAGUACCAAGCGCUAUCAAAAAACAUGGUAGUUUUUUCGUUGUAAUUGUUCAUCUUUUGGACGGCUUACAGUAGUUUAGGGCGGUAUGUCAAUUAGGGAAUAAUCUAGACUCUUGAUUUAACUUCCGUUGGUCUGACAUUUUCGGCAAAUGCUUUGUUGAUGGAUUUGAGCGAGGUUGAAAGCAGCAACAACAACAACAACGACCCAGUAUAAUUCCACUAGUGAGGUAUGGGAGGUAGUAUGUACGCAGACCUUACCCCAACCCCGAGGCAGUAGAGAGGCUCUUUGCGAAAGACACUCGACUCAAGAAAACGAAAAGAGACAAUAUAUCAGUCCCAUCAACAGAUACCAUGGGAAUAAUAACAUCAUCAUAAAGAUGUGGUCUAGGUUGAAAGCAUGAUAAAAUAUUGUUCAAGGUCAUCCUCUUAUGUCUUUCUUUCACAAGAUACAGUGUGAACCCUGUAUGAUAGCAAUUGAUUUCAUCUCCAUUGGUGGGUCGAUACUAUGCAUUGAUAUGUGCUGAAACAAGGGUAGUAGCAAAUUUAAGCUUAUGACAUGUUGAUUCCGGUAGCAGCAGAAACAUGAGGAGUAGAAAAUUAAAUGCUGCUGAAAUUUUGUAUUCUAUUUAUACCUCUUAACUACUUUUGACCUAAUUUAAACAAAUAGCAUGAUAAUGCUUGAAAGUUGUUGAAUAAUUUCUUUUCUGUUGAA